rnacentral:misc_RNA from 1 species
AAUAUAUAUUAAACUACAUAUGUAUCAUUGAAAUAUUAUUUUAAUGUGGUAAAAAUUAUAAAACUGGGUCAAGUUGUUGUGAUUAGUACUUGUAAACUAAACUGUCAACAGGCAGAGGGUUAUAAACUUUGUUUAUGAUGUUCUUGACAAUUCAGAUGUUCGAGUGGUUUUUUAAACUGUAAAAUGUUUUAUAUUGUUUAUACAGCCUUUUUAUUACCUGGUUUAUUGUCCUUGUUUUGCAAAAAAAAAAAGUGUGUCAGUGCUUUAGAUGAUAUCACAUUUGGAUCAGUGUGUAUUUUAUGUUCAGUUCCUGUUUAGUACAUUAAUCCUUUCUUGUAACAAAAAAAAAAAUGUUAGAAGCAGUUUGUAUUGGAGAGCAGGAUGUUGUUUUUUCUGUUUGUUUUUUGGUUUUUUUGUGUGUUAUUGUUAUCUUUUUAUAAAUGAUACAACACGACUUUCCAAUCCAGUACAUUGAUUCAGACCUUUUUUUGUUUCAUGCUACUGGAGAACCAUCCAUUUAAUGUAUGUGAUCUUUCCUCUACACUUUGUCAUAUAUAAACAAUACUGCUUCUUUUUAUCCCCCGGUACAAUGCUGUGAUCAUUUUGUUGUUGUUAACUUUGUUAAAUUUUGAUAAAUUGAUUUCAAUAUUUUGUAUUAUGAAGUUAUUUUGUAGUAAGUUCAAAUAGAUACAGAUAA